GGUGGGGCGGGGUAGCCUAGGGCUUAAUGUGUUCGCUAGUCACACCGAAGAACCAGGUUCAAUUCCCACAUGGGCACAGUGUGUGAAGCCCAUUUCUGGUGUCCGCCGCCAUGAUAUCACUGAAAUAAUGCUUAAAGCAUGGCGUAAAACUAAACUCACUCACUCACACUUGAUUAUUUAGUGUCUUCUGACAUUAACUGACAAACAAGUUCACUUUGUUGAUGAUGUUUAAUGGG